rnacentral:rRNA from 1 species
UACGUAGGGUGCAAGCGUUUGUCCGGAAUUAUUGGGCGUAAAGAGCUCGUAGGCGGUUUGUCGCGUCUGCUGUGAAAACUGGAGGCUCAACCUCCAGCCUGCAGUGGGUACGGGCAGACUAGAGUGCGGUAGGGGGAGAUUGGAAUUCCUGGUGUAGCGGUGGAAUGCGCAGAUAUCAGGAGGAACACCGAUGGCGAAGGCAGAUCUCUGGGCCGUAACUGACGCUGAGGAGCGAAAAGCAUGGGGGAGCGAACAGGG